AUUGAACGCUGGCGGCAGGCCUAACACAUGCAAGUCGAGCGGAUGAGAGGAGCUUGCUUCUCGAUUCAGCGGCGGACGGGUGAGUAAUGCCUAGGAAUCUGCCUGGUAGUGGGGGACAACGUUUCGAAAGGAACGCUAAUACCGCAUACGUCCUACGGGAGAAAGCAGGGGACCUUCGGGCCUUGCGCUAUCAGAUGAGCCUAGGUCGGAUUGGCUAGUUGGUGAGGUAAUGGCUCACCUAGGCGACGAUCCGUAACUGGUCUGAGAGGAUGAUCAGUCACACUGGAACUGAGACACGGUCCAGACUCCUACGGGAGGCAGCAGUGGGGAAUAUUGGACAAUGGGCGAAAGCCUGAUCCAGCCAUGCCGCGUGUGUGAAGAAGGUCUUCGGAUUGUAAAGCACUUUAAGUUGGGAGGAAGGGUUGUAGAUUAAUACUCUGCAAUUUUGACGUUACCGACAGAAUAAGCACCGGCUAACUCUGUGCCAGCCGCCGCGGUAAAAC
rnacentral:rRNA from 1 species